rnacentral:rRNA from 1 species
GGAAUCGCUAGUAAUCGCGGAUCAGAAUGCCGCGGUGAAUACGUUCCCGGGUCUUGUACACACCGCCCGUCACACCAUGGGAGUUGGAAAUGCCCGAAGUCUGUGACCCAACCUGAGAGGGAGGGAGCAGCCGAAGGCAGGUCUGAUGACUGGGGUGAAGUCGUAACAAGGUACC